GCACAGUAUAUGUAUAGUAAUUCACUGUUUAUUAUCAUCAUCAUUAUGAAUAGCAAAGUCCACAGUUCAGUUUCCAGGCAACAUGAGGGUGGAGUUUUAUAUGUGGGACACCUGCAUGUGAUGUGAUAACAUGGUGGUUGUUUUUUUUUUUUUUUUGACCACUAUGAUUUACUGGUCUAUUAAAACACAACCGAACAGUUAAAAACUACAAUUAAAACACAAUCUUUAAGCAAUUAAAAACAAUCAAUUGUUGAACCAAUGUAGGAGAUCUGCUGAGUAAUUUGGCUUUUUAGGUAAAGUCAAGUAGAAACUGUUUUCUCUCUCCAUCUAAGGAUCAGUGAAA
rnacentral:lncRNA from 1 species